AGCAGCCGCGGUAAUUCCAGCUCCAAUAGCGUAUAUUAAAGUUGUUGCAGUUAAAAAGCUCGUAGUUGAAUUUCGGGAUCAAUAUAUCGGUCGUGCCUCUGGUACGUACUGGUAUCAUUGAUUUCUCCCUUCUGACGAACCAUGAUUUCAUUUAUUUGGUGUCAUGGGGAGUUAGGACUGUUACUUUGAAAAAAUUAGAGUGUUUAAAGCAGGCUAACGCUUGAAUACAUUAGCAUGGAAUAAUAAAAUAGGACGUUUGAUCCUAUUUUGUUGGUUUCUAGGGUUGACGUAAUGAUUAAUAGGGAUAGUUGGGGGCAUUAGUAUUCAAUUGUCAGAGGUGAAAUUCUUGGAUUUAUUGAAGACUAACUACUGCGAAAGCAUUUGCCAAGGAUGUUUUCAUUAAUCAAGAACGAAAGUUAGGGGAUCGAAGACGAUCAGAUACCGUCGUAGUCUUAACCAUAAACUAUGCYGACUAGGGAUCGGAUGAUGUUAAUUUUAUAAUGACUCA
rnacentral:rRNA from 1 species